GAGGAAGUUUUUGGCCAUGGGAAGUUUGGCAAGAAAUAUUUAUUAUAUAUUCUACUACUUCAAGUUCUGUUUGAAGUAUGUAUGUAUAAGUAGUUCUUGCCUAUUCCUCCCAUGCCAAUGAUUUCCUA
rnacentral:pre_miRNA from 1 species